rnacentral:rRNA from 1 species
UGGGGAAUAUUGGACAAUGGGCGCAAGCCUGAUCCAGCCAUGCCGCGUGAGUGACGAAGGCCUUAGGGUUGUAAAGCUCUUUUGGCGGGGAAGAUAAUGACGGUACCCGCAGAAUAAGCUCCGGCUAACUUCGUGCCAGCAGCCGCGGUAAUACGAAGGGAGCUAGAGUUGUUCGGAAUCACUGGGCGUAAAGCGCACGUAGGCGGACUUUCAAGUCAGGGGUGAAAUCCCGGGGCUCAACCUCGGAACUGCCUUUGAUACUGUUGGUCUCGAGUCCGGAAGAGGUGAGUGGAAUUCCUAGUGUAGAGGUGAAAUUCGUAGAUAUUAGGAAGAACACCGGUUGCGAAGGCGGCUCACUGGUCCGGUACUGACGCUGAGGUGCGAAAGCGUGGGGAGCAAACA